UGCCCCGAAUCUCCCGGGCUACACGCGCGCUACAAAGGACAGGACAAUGGGAUGCAAUACCGAAGACGGUAACGCCAACCCGAAACCUGUUCGUAGUUCGGACUGAGGGCUGUAACUCGCCCUCACGAAGCUGGAUUCCGUAGUAAUCGCGGGUCAACAUCCCGCGGUGAAUAUGCCCUGCUCUUU
rnacentral:rRNA from 1 species